UACGUAGGGUGCGAGCGUUGUCCGGAAUUAUUGGGCGUAAAGGGCUCGUAGGCGGUUUGUCGCGUCGGGAGUGAAAUCCACUGGCUUAACUGGUGGCUUGCUUUCGAUACGGGCAGACUGGAGGUAUGCAGGGGAGAACGGAAUUCCUGGUGUAGCGGUGAAAUGCGCAGAUAUCAGGAGGAACACCGGUGGCGAAGGCGGGUCUCUGAGCCGAUACUGACGCUGAGGAGCGAAAGCGUGGGGAGCGAACAGG
rnacentral:rRNA from 1 species